GCGGCAGGCCUAACACAUGCAAGUCGAGCGCGCCCUUCGGGGUGAGCGGCGGACGGGUGAGUAACGCGUGGGAACGUGCCCUUUGCUGCGGAAUAGCCACUGGAAACGGUGAGUAAUACCGCAUGAGCCCUUCGGGGGAAAGAUUUAUCGGCAAGGGAUCGGCCCGCGUUGGAUUAGGUAGUUGGUGGGGUAAUGGCCUACCAAGCCGACGAUCCAUAGCUGGUUUCAGAGGAUGAUCAGCCACACUGGGACUGAGACACGGCCCAGACUNCUACGGNAGGCAGCAGUGGGGAAUCUUAGACAAUGGGCGCAAGCCUGAUCUAGCCAUGCCGCGUGAGUGACGAAGGCCCUAGGGUCGUAAAGCUCUUUCGCCUGUGAAGAUAAUGACGGUAGCAGGUAAAGAAACCCCGGCUAACUCCGUGCCAGCAGCCGCGGUAAUACGGAGGGGGCUAGCGUUGCUCGGAAUUACUGGGCGUAAAGGGCGCGUAGGCGGAC
rnacentral:rRNA from 1 species